rnacentral:rRNA from 1 species
CUACGGGGUGCUCCAGUGGGGAAUAUUGCACAAUGGGCGCAAGCCUGAUGCAGCCAUGCCGCGUGUAUGAAGAAGGCCUUCGGGUUGUAAAGUACUUUCAGCGGGGAGGAAGGGAGUAAAGUUAAUACCUUUGCUCAUUGACGUUACCCGCAGAAGAAGCACCGGCUAACUCCGUGCCAGCAGCCGCGGUAAUACGGAGGGUGCAAGCGUUAAUCGGAAUUACUGGGCGUAAAGCGCACGCAGGCGGUUUGUUAAGUCAGAUGUGAAAUCCCCGGGCUCAACCUGGGAACUGCAUCUGAUACUGGCAGGCUUGAGUCUCGUAGAGGGGGGUAGAAUUCCAGGUGUAGCGGUGAUAUGCGUAGAGAUCUGGAGGAAUACCGGUGGCGAAGGCGGCCCCCUGGACGAAGACUGACGCUCAGGUGCGAAAGCGUGGGGAGCAAACAGGAUUAGAUACCCGUGUAGUC